rnacentral:rRNA from 1 species
AUUGAACGCUGGCGGUAUGCUUAACACAUGCAAGUCGAACGGCAGCAUGGUCUAGCUUGCUAGACUGAUGGCGAGUGGCGGACGGGUGAGUAACGCGUAGGAAUAUGCCUUGAAGAGUGGGACAACUUGGGGAAACUCAAGCUAAUACCGCAUGUACUCGAGAGAGUAAAGCUGGGGACCUUUAGGCCUGGCGCUUUAAGAUUAGCCUGCGUCCGAUUAGCUAGUUGGUAGGGUAAAGGCCUACCAAGGCGACGAUCGGUAGCUGGUCUGAGAGGGUGAUCAGCCACACUGGAACUGAGAGACGGUCCAGAGUCCUACGGGGGGCAGCAGUGGGGAAUAUUGGACAAUGGGGGGAACCCUGAUCCAGCAAUGCCGCGUGUGUGAAGAAGGCCUGAGGGUUGUAAAGCACUUUCAGUGGGGAGGAGGUUUGGAAGGUUGAGGUACUUGACGUUACCUGCAGAAGAAGCACCGGCUAAUUUCGUGCCAGCCGCCGCGGUAA